rnacentral:lncRNA from 1 species
UUUGUUAUGGAGAGUGGAGUGAUGUCCGUUGUCGCGACUUGCCAAAGAGUAGUGGGGCCACGUGGAAUCUGUUACAGAAAGUGGAGUGGGGUAGUGGCCAUUGUCGUGACUUGCCAGAGAGUUCGGGCCUGACGGCUGAAGCUCGACUGGGACGUCUGAUGGAGCGGAAUGGCUCUCUGUCUCUGCAAUCUAAGAGAAGCUCGGAUGUUUCCGAGGUUGCUGAUGAAUCCACUGUUGUCAGGUGCCUUGGGCGCUGAUGCUACAGACGGAAAUCAUCUGCUGUAGAAGCUCGGAUGGAGACUUUCUGUUCGAAAAGUCCGGUAAGAGUCCAAUUGCUAGGAGAGCCCGUCUGGGAUUUGCCUGAUGUGGAAGCUCGUCUGUAGAUUGUCCACCGGAGAGGUCCGGUUUCAUGAGGAAUCCGGCAGAGGGUCGUCCGACAGUGGAGUUCGGAUGGCGCUGUGGAGGUUCGUCCGCUAGAGGAGUCUUGAGGACAUCAGGGAAGGUCGAACGUUGGAGGAGUCCGAGAUUCAAUUCUGUCAUAGAAGUUCAGACGGAGUCCGGCUCUUGUAGAAG